UUUAAAUUGACAAACAGCUAGUCGUCGAGAAAGAUCGGAAGUGUUCUCUGUUUUGUGCUUAUCCUCAUGUUUCUCUGAAUAUCAUGUUUCUGAAUAUUUACAUGUUACUGGUGGCGUGAGGAAAAUAAGUGGUAUUUCGACAAGAAUUUCGACCAGCUGAAAAGGACUGUGGAAUCUGAAACAGAAUGGGUGGCGGAGACUGAUGGGAAAGAGCCUUCUUUUCGUAGUUUUCGGGGAUGUCUAGGCGGCGUAUCUCUGGCAGAAGGACGUUUUGUGCAGGGUGGAACAGUCACCUUUUUCAAUUGCGGCUCAGAGGGGUACUUCGCUAGCGGAUGUGCCGCAGACCUGCAAGGAACCACCUUCAUGGGCAUCGGGCGUGGCCGAGGAGUUACCAUACCGGUGGCAGCAACAGCCUCUCCACGGACGCAACUGUUCGUUCCAGCCAAUGGCGGACAGUGAUUAUGAUAAGUACUGGUUAUUAUCAAAAAAAAUGUUUGAAAUAGACUGAAUUGCAGAUUAUUUUUUUUCUGAAUAUUUUGAAAACUCGGUUGAUAUUUCACAACAUUCUGGAAAGAUACUUUAAAGGCUGAUGAUGAAAUUUUGUCUUUAUAGAAAAUGUAUAAGUCUUAUCUAUCAUUAUCAAACCACUAAGUUUUAUCAUGAAAAACAAUCAAUCAACAUUACGAAAUAAUGAGUUUUGUAUUUUUAGUAAUUCAUGAUUUGAUUCCGAAAAAGUGUGCUUAUAAAGUACCUUUCAUUCCACAUAAUGUCAAUGCGUGUGAUAUAUUUUAUUGAAAGGUGUAUUUUGAAAUGUAUGAGAGCGAAGAUAUAAAUUUGAUAAUAUUUCCCGCCCAUCCCAUCCCUAUUUUUAGGUUGAUUUUCCUGUUACAUGUGCUCUAUUAACAUGCAUAUUUAUUUUCAUUUACAGAAUUCCACUGUUUGAUUGCCUAACGUAUGUCAGUAACGUAUUUGUUACUUUUAUGAUUUAAGAUUUACUGUAUGUUUAGUUUCGUUCCAUUUGUUUCAUGAUGUUUUCUAAGAUACCAGUCAUUAUUGAUGUUGCUGACUCUUAAGGACGGACGUGGCCACGAUUUACCAAGGUUACGAUCCAGAUGUGCUCAGACGCUAUAACCAAUCUUCCAGCAUCCGAAUACUGCCUUUUCCUGUGUACAUGUUCACCAAAUACAUUGCCAAUUCCUAAA